rnacentral:tmRNA from 1 species
GGGGAUGUACAGGUUUCGACAGCGUGGGAAGUGGAUCGAAAAGCACGUGGUAGGGUCGGCUACCUUAAAACGCAAACAAAUUUAAACGCAAAAACAAAUACAGCUUACGCUGUUGCUGCGUAAUUUACACGCAGUCGCUCCCUGCUAUCGAACUGUCGUUUAGCAACGGAGUGUCAUUUUAGACAGUCAACCUUCGCGCCGGUUUGUUCGCUGUCGCGAAAGCCAACAGAACAUCGGGUUCAAAACGUCCGUCAUCCGUCGUCAGAGCCUUAAACCUUACGGUUGACUAAACGUGUAGAAAGCGGUUUGUAACCCACGUUGGAAAGGAGUUCAAUUCUCCUCAUCUCCACCA